AGUGAACGCUGGCGGUAGGCCUAACACACGCAAGUCGAACGGCAGCACAGUAAGAGCUUGCUCUUACGGGUGGCGAGUGGCGGACGGGUGAGGAAUACAUCGGAAUCUACUUUUUCGUGGGGGAUAACGUGGGGAAACUUACGCUAAUACCGCAUACGACCUACGGGUGAAAGCAGGGGAUCUUCGGACCUUGCGCGAUUGAAUGAGCCGAUGUCGGAUUAGCUAGUUGGCGGGGUAAAGGCCCACCAAGGCGACGAUCCGUAGCUGGUCUGAGAGGAUGAUCAGCCACACUGGAACUGAGACACGGUCCAGACUCCUACGGGAGGCAGCAGUGGGGAAUAUUGGACAAUGGGCGCAAGCCUGAUCCAGCCAUACCGCGUGGGUGAAGAAGGCCUUCGGGUUGUAAAGCCCUUUUGUUGGGAAAGAAAAGCAGCAGGUUAAUACCCCGCUGUUCUGACGGUACCCAAAGAAUAAGCACCGGCUAACUUCGUG
rnacentral:rRNA from 1 species